rnacentral:misc_RNA from 1 species
GGAAUUUUGUGUAUUGCAAAAAGGGGUUAUCAGUUCAGAUCAUUUGAUUCUGCUUCUUCCAUGAUAGAACAGAGAAGUAUAGGAAGCCAUGGAUAUAAUAAUGAGGAUUUAGGUGAAAAAACCAGAGAAGCCAAGCAGAGAUUGGAUCACAAGCUAAGAAGGACUAGAAGUAAAGACGAAAGAUUCAAGGAUGUCGAAGAUGGGCAAGUAGAAUCAAGUACUCUGCAGAAGAAAGAGAUGUCUGGAGUGAAGCAGAAUGGGAUAAAGACAUUUAGCAGGGUAAUAAAGCAACGUAACGAUAUCGAAAAUGAUGAAUGCACCAUUUGUUUGGGCAAAUUCAAGGUUGGUGAUAACCUAAUGCAUUUGCUAUGUGACCACAAAUUCCAUUCAUGUUGUUUGGUUCCAUGGUUGGAGAAUUAUGUUUGUUGCCCUUGCUGCAGAAUUGAGAUUCUCACUUGAAAAAAAUGUAUAUAUGGGAUAUAAAAUGAGCUUAAAUAAAGAAAUCGGGAUUCAUAUAGUUGACCCCAAUUUGUCUGAAACCGAGGCAUAAAGUGAGGAUGAAGAUUCAUAUAACCGACUCUAACUUGUUUGGAACUGAAACGUUGUUGUAUAGAUGAAGUUUGAAAUAAGAAGAUUGUAUCAUUGGUACUUGGUUACUAGAGAAGUUUG